UCAGAGCCAGCACCCCCGAUCCCAGGCAGCUGUUCCAGUCCUCCAGAGGCUCGGCUCGCUACCCCUUGUAACGUUCUGUCCGUAGCCCAUGUUUGGGGCGGGGGGGGGGGGGGGGGGGGGGGGGGGGGGGGGGGGGGGGGGGGGCAGGAGUGGACGCAGAUCUCGGGAGGAGCACAUUCCCAUGUCUCUCCCCUGUGGUCUCUGGCUCUCCUCCCCCCGGAACCUCGGGAGACCCACAGUGCUCGGUGGCCCCCUGGAAGUGGACUGCCCAGGAACGGAGGAAGGUCGGGGGAUGAACAGAGGUGGCCCUGGAGCGGCCGGCAGGACAUCGGACCUUCCCAACGCGUCCCUCCCUGCCACUCUCUUCAUCGUCGAGGGCCCGUCCUUUCUCCCCAGCAAAGAGCAUCUGCGGGUUGCAUCUCCCAGGCCAGAGCGCAGAGGAGGCUUUGCUCUCCAGCCUCAAAUUACCACUCUCCUUAUGUCAAAUAUGACACAUUCUCCAAGCUAAUGACCUCUGCCCCCUCCUUAAUAAAACAACCCUCCACUUUCCUUGAGCAGGCAAA